rnacentral:lncRNA from 1 species
GUCUAUGGAGUAGCCAUUCUUUUAUUCGAAUACUUUACUCUCCUAACAAACUUGCUUUCAUUUUACUCUACAGACUCACCCUGAAUUCUUUCUUGCACUUGCUCUAAGAACCCUCUCUUGGGGUCUGGAUCCGGACCGCUUUCUGCUAACACUUCUACAUACCACGUUUAUUUGAGACAGAAAAAUACAGCAAGGACAUCCAUCUAAACUUUGUCUGGAGUCUGGGCCCAGGGGAGCUGCAGUACAUGGAGGGUCUCUGGAAGUGGGUAUGGCAGAUUAGCGCCUAAGCUCAACUGGCUUUCCUCCUCUGCCUCUGUUCCUGGGACUUGCUCACGGCUCACAAGCAGUUAGAGUCGAUUGGGUGUGAGAAGCGAGACUAUUCAUAAGCAGCCUGUCCCCUGUGCCACUGGCUUAUUAAGCAGAGCUAGGCAUAGACAGCUGGGAACUCUGGGCAGCUCCUUUAAAUUUCUCUUUGAAGAAUGUUAAGUAUUCACCAGCAGUGAAGGUUACAAAGGCUGAAGUUUUCUCUCCACCCCCAGCAUUUCCCAGGGGAGUAAAAGGAAGGAUCAAAGCUACAAUGGGCUUGGCUGCCCUUCUCCAGGAAUGGCCAGAGGACAACUUCUGCUUGGAAAGUUCCUGGAUACUUCUGGAACAGAAUUCUCCUGGGGUGAGUGGUUCACACAACUGACCCACUUCAUCCCCACUCAGCAAAAUGAGAGCGCCGUUGACUGACAACAAAAUGCUGAACUGGAAACCUCCGCAGUAAAACGUGAUGCAGAACAGAGAAAGAACUAAGAUGUUCUGCACAGACGGUAUCAUGCCCUCUAUGAGGAAACUACUCGAGCAUAUCUGUGUUUCAAAUGAUGUCUUUGAACUAUUUAUGUUAAAUGCCCCCCCAAAAAAAUGGAAAGGCUUCUUCGUAGAGGAAAGAGCUUGAAGUUGCUAGGCUGUUCUGCCUUCAACAGGCAUUUAUUGUGCAGCUACAAAAUGCUGCACCAAGCACUGGGCAGUGGAAAGGUGAUUCAGACACAGUUCCUUUGACAAAACCUCAAAAUCCCAUGUGAAGUUCUCUUUUAUAAAGUAAAUCAGAAAAGAUUCAAAAGUUGAGGUACCAAAAAAAAAUAAUAUAAAUGCAAGUAGUAAAGCGCUAUUGACUGUAAAUAGAAGCACUUAAUAAGUGGUUGUUGUUUCUGUUCUUCUCUCUAAUAAGUGUAUACAGGUGGCUAAAUGCUUUUGUUGAGCUAUGAGUACCUCAUUCUGUGGAGUGACUCAGAAAGUCUCUAGGUGUUAGACUGGAAACAGGUGAUGUUCAGUGCACGCAAUGCUUGAAGUGUUCCCAGGUAUUUAGUUUCAGGUAAAUUUUACUGUUUAAAAAAAUUGUUUUUACUUGCUAUUAAGUGUGUUGACCUUGGAUAAUUUACUUAACCUCUCUAUGCCUUGCUUCCUUUUCUGCAAAAUGAGAGUAAGAAAAGUGCUUACCUCAUUGGCUUUUUGUGAAAUUCAAUGAGUUAACACGUGGGAGAAAAGAUGUUUUUAAAUAAUCAAUUCUUAGCAGUUGGUCAUUGUUAUGAGUUACAUCAUGCGUAGUUAAAUAUUUUUUAAAAAAUUAAAAUUUAUUUUCCUAUAGGAAAAAGGAGGGACUGAAUUGUGAAUCCAUUUUCUCUGCUUUCAGUUAUUUCUACUCCUGAGAAAAACCCUAAGCACUUAGGGUCUAGAACCACAUCCCGAGACGGUGAGCUCUUCCCACAUUUUCACAUGUGCCUGAAUCAUUUGUAGGUCUCGUUCAAGCAGAGAAUCUCCGGGAUUCUCACUCGGGAGGUCUGGGGUCGGGCCUGAGUCCUUGCAUUUCUAACAAACUCCCAGUUGAUGCUGGUGCCACUGGUUCUGAAUUAAGAUGCUUGUUUACCUAGUGACAGCAACAAAAAUUGUAGCAAUGGUAUCCAGAAAUAAACAGCAUACUUUUAUAGGGCUAGUCAAAUGAACCCAAACAUACAAAAUAAAGGCAAACCUCACAAUCUUCUUGCAAUGAUUUAUUACUCUGAGAGCUCAUUUUAGGUGAGAUUGUCUCCCUCCGGAGCCUGAUUCCUAAAAGCUUUCUAUGACUUUGAAAUUAUCGUUUUCCUUUUGGAGGUAGCACAAUAUAAGAGCUAAGAAGAGAAUGAGAACUGGAGUCCCUCCCAGGUUUGCCCCUCUAGGUAUGUAAGCUAAGGUAAACUACUUAGCCUUUCUUAAGCCUCAGUUUUCUCAUUACAAAUGGGCAUAUACGGAACAUUGGCUUGCCUCCUACAGUUGUUUGAGGACUCAAUGAAAAUGUACGUGAAGCUGGUUGCGGUGAGCUGAGAUUGUGCCACUGCACUCCAGCCUUGUGACACAGCGAGACUCCGUCUCAAAAAAAUAAAUAAAUAAAUAAAUAAAAAUAAAAGACUGGUUGCGGUUGCUCAUGCCUGUAAUUCCAGCACUUUGGGAGGCUGAGGUGGGCGGAUCACAAGGUCAAGAAAUCAAGACCAUCUUGGCUAACAUGGUGAAACCACAUCUCUACUAAAACUACAAAAAUUAGCUGGGCAUGGUAGCACAUGCCUGUAGUCCCAGCUACUCGGGAGGGCUGAGGCAGGAGAAUCGCUUGAACCAGGGAGGCAGAGGGUGCAGUGAGCCGAAAUCAUGCCACUGCACUCCAGCCUUGUGACAGAGUGAGACUCCAUCUCAAAAAAAAAAAAAAAAAAAAGAAAAAGAAAAAAGAAAAUGUACGUGAAGCAGUUAUCCUGGUGCCGGUGCCUGGUACGUAUCAAGGGCACCAGAACAUUAGCUAUUUAACCUUAAGGUUUCAAAUCCACCCUUCUCUGGAGACUUCUUGUUCCCUACUCUCAUGCAUCUCUGCAUCAUGGUCAUAACCCAUAGCAACGAAAAGCCAAGGUUUCACUCUUUGAAAUCUGGAUAAUGGUAUUUGUCUGCAAUAAUAUCCUAGGAGUAGAGCUAGAGAAUUUGUUUUGGGUUUUGUUUGUUUUUGUUCAUUUUUCAGACACGGUGAGUCAGAAACGUAAGGCUCAGAGAUAUUUUUAGUUUUUCCAGCCACUAAGAAUUCUUGUUGCCUGCAGGGAAAUAAAGAAAUGCAGAGAAGGGGGAGUGCUAGACUUGCCUGCUUGCUAUCCAAAACCACUUCUUUCCUUUGAAAAAGGGUCUGUGCAGCCAAAACAAGCAGCGCUAACGCUGGGCUGAGAGUAGGCACCAGCCAUCCAGGAAAGAGACAAGGCAACCAUCAGCUACAAAAGCUGCUUCAACAGCAGACAGCUCAAAGAAUCAAAAAAUGCAUCCCAGGAGGGCUGGGUGAGGAAAGACAGUGAUCUUGCCUUGGUAUUUGCAGCAAAGUCACAGACCAGGAAGGUCAAAUCCUCGCUGAGAACCAUGUGGACAAAUGUCCAGGACAUGGUCGCUGGCCUCAGGGAGCCCACAAUUUUAUUGAAGAAGCAAGAUUGUCAGAAGUAAGGACCAAAACUCGUGUAUACAGAGAAAGGAGAAAGAUUGAGAGGAAAGAAGAGGAGAAUCAAGGAGGCAGAGAUUAAAAGAAGGAAGGGAUAGAAAAGAAAAGAAAAAGAAAGAGGGAAGGAGAGAAGGGGAAAAGUACGGACUCCGUUUCGUGACUACAUCACAAGCAUUGAUGAAAAGAAGAGAAAUCUGUGAAAACGAGAAAGCAGGCACUGUAUGUUGCAUCCUGACACACAGUGAGUUGUUACACUUUAAAAGCCACAAAGAAGAGACGCUCACCCAGAGACAGACUUGAUGGAUUUGGCAGCUUAUCAUACUGGGAAGGGCAGAAUUGGGUUAUGCUAUGUUUUCAAUGGGUCCCCUCCAAAAGUCAGCCAAUGUGAUAGUAUUAAGAGAUGAGGCCUUUAAGAGGUGAUUAGGCCAUGAGAGCUCCUUCCUCGGGCUUGGAAUUAAGUGUCCUUAUACAGAGGUUUGGCACAAGGAGUUGGCCCCCACUUGCCCUUCCGUGUUCAGCCAUGAGGACACAGUGUUCCUUCUCUCUGGAGGAUGCAGCGUGAGGGCGCCAUCUUGGAAGCACAGAGCAGCCAUCACCAGACACCAAACCUGCUGGUGCCUUGAUCUUCCCAGCCUCCAGAACUGUGUAAACACUGAGGCCCAUAGAGGUCAUCACCUGCCCAACUGGACAGCUGUGAAGCCACAGCUCACACCACUUGCUGCAUCCUCCUGCAAUUUCAGCACACUUUCUCUUGUGCUGCUCUCCCUGGAAAGACAGUGCUUUUCCCCAACACCAAUUCCACCGGCAUCGCCCUAGAAAAAUACUCACAAAGAACACGGGGAGCUAUGUCUAAGGAUCUUCAAUGAAGUAUUGUUAUAAUGGACAUUUAGUUACAACUUAAAUGUUCACCAACUGGGUGAACAUUUCCACUGACUGGGGAAUGACCAGAAACAGAAAACAGAGAACUAUGCUGUAUAACCAUCACAUGAAAUUCUGGGCAGCGGUAGAAAGGAAUGAAUGAAUCUGCUCAUGCUUACAUGAAAAGAGACAUAUUGUGAAGUGAAGGAAGUUUCAGAAUGAAGUUUACAAGUAUGAUUCCACAUGUUACAGAACAACAAGAGAUGUGGGUGUUUUGUAUGCAGACAUAUACAUGUAUGUAAACGUAUAGGAAAAGGUCUGAAAUUACGCAAGCCAAACUGAUAACAAAAUUACCCAUUGAGAAGGGGAAAGUGGUAGAAAAGAGAGAAUGCUGAUCAAGGGGAUUCUAGCCUUAUCUGAGCUGUUUGAAUUGUUUCACAAGAAUAAUGUAUUCAUGUGUUACUUGUGUGCUUAUAAUAAAUCUAAAAUAAGUUUGUCCUAAUUCUUUACAGUAGAGAAAUGGUGGCAUUUGGUGAUCAAGGAUGCAGUGUGGACUCAGACAGGCCUUAGCUUCCAUCCCAGCUUGGCUACUCGAGAGCUGUGUGACUGUACAUAAGCUACUUAAACUUUCUGUAUCUCUUUAGCCUCUUCUAUAGAAUGAAGUUGAUGACAAUACCUCAGAAGAUGUAGUGAGGAAUUAAAUGAGGCAUAAGCCAAGGUUUCUGCUGCACCUGGCAAAGAAGUGAAUCAGAUCAGAAGCACAAAUGCACGGAACUGAGUUUUCUGCCUGGACAGUGUCCUAAGACUCUCUGGCAAGAUCUCUGGUUUAACGACUUCCUGUACUUUCUUCAUCAUUUCGCCAGACAGCAGAUCUCCUGAGGGCAUGGGGAUCCCUAU